rnacentral:lncRNA from 10 species
UGUCUGGGAGGAGCCCUGUGGACGCCACAAUUUCUGUGCCCUCCCAUCUGCUUACAGCACCACCUAUUGGUCAAGCCCAACCAGAAACUAGAGGGCAAGGGAGCUAGAGGCUGCAGCGCACUCAAAUUAGUAGUCAUGGGCGACAGCAGGGCAGAGGACGGUGAAGCGGAUCCACAGGGUAUCCAAGCGGAUACACACGUCCAGCAUGAGCUGGGAUCACGCCUGUAAUCCCAGCACUUUGGGAGGCCAAGGUGGGUGGAUUAUGAGGUCAGGAGUUCGAGACCAGCCUGAGCAACAUGGUGAAACCCCAUCUCUACUAAAAAUACAAAAAUUAGCCAGGUAUGGUGGCAGGCGCCUGUAAUCUCAGCUACCCUGGAGGCUGAGGCAGGAGAAUCUCUUGAACCCGGGAGGCGGAGGUUGCAGUGAGCCGAGAUCACACCACUGCACCCCAGCCUGGACAACAGAGAGACACUCCGUCUCAAAUAAAUAAAUAAAUAAAACAGGUCCAGCAUGGCCUACUCGUGUGUGCGUGUGUGUGUGUGUGUGUGUGUAUGUGUGUGUGAAAACAGGAAACGUAGUAAAGACAAUAUUGCCCUUUGUGUGAAAGUUGAGUAAACAGGGAAACUACUGUGAAAUUAAAGUUGCUUAGUAGUUUAUCUUGUCUCACAAUUAAUUAGUGCUGUUUAGGAACCACUUUGAGUUCUCGUUAGAAGCCAAGUAACGAGGCAUUUUGGAACCGUCUAUUACUACAUACAGAAGGAGGAGCACACUUACCACUCCGAGUAAUGAUGGGACCAGCAGAGAGCACCGCGCUGCCAGAAGAGCUCUGGGGGCUCCAAGUCGUCCUCCUCCCAGCAUCUCUCCUUUCUCUGUGGCUGCAAAUCUGAGGUGUUAAUGAAAACAAAUGAAAUUCCACACCGGCGCAGAAUUGUUUCUUUAUGGCCAUUUGGAAAGCAGAUUCUUUUGGAAGAGAUACCACAUGUUUAAUUUUAUUCAUUUCCUUCCGUGCAUUUAUUUAAUUACUUUGCAUGUAACUGCUACAGUGUUUCUUACCCUGGCUUGGGCCACAUUUCUUAUUUCCUCCCGCUGUAAUUGUGCACUGCCUCAUUAAUUUACAUAGCUCAAUGGCUCUCUUGAAAAAGUGCUGUGUUUAUCAAACUUUUCUACUUUUAUUUCUCUCAAGCCUUUAAUAAAUCCUUCCCGGAAAUGUUGGUCAGCAUGGACUCAAGGAUAGACAGGAAAAAGGAGCCUGUUCAAUGACACCUCAGAGUUGCAGUUGGCCAAAUCCGGUGUCAGAACUCUACAAGACAAAUGACCAAACUGCUCAAAGAGAUAAACAGCAUUUUGUAAAAGCAAAG